AAUGUGGUGUUGCAUCUUUCCUGCUGUUUGGAGUGGAUGCGACAAGUGGUGGCUCAUAUGGGGACUUCUGCUUUGUGAGAAGAACCUCAAGAGGUCAGGAUAGCCAGCUGGAAAGCUCCCAGGUACCCUUUUUACCUGAUGAUGAAGGAGUGGCACCGGUGACUGAACCUCUCCAGCUUGCCCUGCGAGGGGUAUUAUGCUUUCAUCUUAUUGUAAAUAUUUCUCAAAAUAGUGUGUGUGUGCAAUUGUAUAAUCAGACUGCUGCACGGUUUGAUAGACCUUUUUAAUAGUUCAACCCGAGCUAAUGCUACUUGGAUCAGAGGAACUUGGCCUGCGAGCAUACCUAAGGGUAAUGCUAGCAUUCUACCCCAACCAUGCUGGGCCCCGUUUUGCAGAGGCUUACGAGACUCUUGCCUCCAUGGACUGAAUGUCAAUCCCAAAAGGCCACUUGGGCAGUGAAAAAAUAUUUUACCUUUUUUCCAUACAUCAGUACCACGCAUAAUCAAAUGUUUGCAGGUUAUAAUUGGACAUAUCAAAGCACGGCACAGUGAAGGGCUAAUAAUCCUCUUAAUGUAUGGUUGUUAUGUGGGGUAAGUGGAAGCUGUACUGAUUUGUCACCUCUAAGUAUACUGAUGGGAGGGGGAUGGGGAAAUGCUAGUUUUUAUUGGAACGGGUCUGAUUUGUUUUAAAAUUCUGUGAAUGUUUUGGCUUUGAGAAAAAAUAUGUCUUUUGUGCCUACACCUGUGUGUAUUUGGCCCCCUUUUGUGUUUUUAGUAUAUAAUGAUAGUUAUGAUAAUGAGUUUAUUAAUCAUAGUAGUGAUAAUUGCUUUUAUAGUAUGUAUUGGAAUGCAUCUGUAUUUUCCUUGGCUGUGGUAACCCGUAUGCCUAGAUUUGUACCCUGGCCAGUGCAAGCUCCAUCUGUUAUGACACUGUUUAGACCUAAAAGAGAUUUUGAGAUUACUGCUGCCAUAGUCACAGCAAUAUCGCACCUCAAGGAACAGGCUGGCAUAGGAGGCUGGCAAUCAUCUGCAUUGCCACAGGAAUAAUGUCCCUGUGGUGCAUUUGCCAUAUGCAAAAAAAGGCAUACCCAUGCGCAGGCACUGUUGAAUCAGGCUUUUGCAGCCCUAGAGCUGGGACAAUCUUCUCAAGUGUGGCUUGGCAUGCUAGAGAAGUAGUCAAUGACGGGUAAGACUCCCUGGAGGUGUUACCAACCUAAGACAGGGACCAGACCACUGCUGUCGGUCCUCCCGAUGACGGGUAAGGAGCAUUAUCACAGGGGGCAACCUAAGACAGGCAUUCUCUCUGCCAAAAUAAUAAAUAAGGGGGAGAUGUGAGGAGCAGGUGUGGCCACCACCCCAAGAUGGCACCUGGGACAGCUGCCAGGUCUUAUAACCUGCGUCUGACUUCCUCAUUAUCUCAGACUUAGCCACAUCCCAGCCGCCUGCACUGUACAGAUGCCAUGCCUCGUCAGUUCGCCUGAGGUGUCCUCACUUGCUGUGAACCUAUGGACUGCUGUUAUGUGACUGGGGUGAUUGGGAGGAGUCAGUAGGGUAUUUAAGGCAUGCCCCAUGGUUGUUCGAGAAAUUCCUGUUCCUGCAUUGCAAUGCUAAGUGUUCCUGAAUAAACCUGCUUGAAGAAGGACAAU
rnacentral:lncRNA from 1 species